rnacentral:rRNA from 1 species
AAAGUACUUUGAAAAGAGGGUCAAAUAGUACGUGAAACUGUGCAUUGUAAAGCGAAUGUUAGUACGAGCAAUGGGGCGGGCAGUUCAGCUACCUUCCAUUCGUGCGUGCGUUGGUGACGUGUUGUCGUUUUCGCCGCGUGUAUGCGUGUGGUGGUGGCGCAUUCUAUCCGUCCAAAAAUUACCCGGGCCGCUGCCCACGAAGGGCGCUCGUUGCACAAGACUUUACCUCUUCUGGUAUUCUUGGGUGACGGGCGAGAUAUGCUACUGCAUGGCGUGGUUGGCGGUUCGUGUCAAGAUUAGCUGCAAGUUUUUGACGUGCUAGAGUUGUGGCAGCAACAGUGUCUGUCCCACGCGCUUAGGUGUGUGGGCUGUGCGCUGUCGCCGCUCACGAUGAAUAGCUGCAACGUCUGCAGCCACUCAGUGCUCGGAGGGUAAAACGAUCGUAUGGUGGCAUUCGACCCGUCUUGAAACACGGACUAAGGAGUUCAACAAGUGCGCAAGUCUUCCUGAAUGAUAAAAGACUGGAAGGCGAAGUGAAAGCGAAUUGUAUGGCGCAGUGUCAACGAACGUUGGCUCGUUCGGUAAACACUUGUGAUGGGAGGCAUUGAUGUUAUGGUUGCUGUCUGCAACUGAGCGUGCGUGUUGAGACCCGAAAGAUGGUAAACUAUGCCUGAGCAGGAUGAAGCCAGGGGAAACUCUGGUGGAGGUCCGAAGCGCUUUUGACGUGCAAAUCAAUCGCUGGACUUGGGUAUAGGGGCGAAAAACUAAUCGAACCAUCUAGUAGCUGGUUCCCUUCGAAGUUUCUCUCAGGAAAGCUGGUACUGGCACUUGAACAGUUUUAUCUGGUAAAGCGAAUGAUUAGAGGCAUUGGGGACGAAUUGUCCUCGACCUAUUCUCAAACUUUAAAUGGGUAAGAUGCUCUUCGUUUCUUGAUUGAGCGGGAGCUCGACGAAUGUAUCGGUACCGAGUGGGCUAUGUUUGGUAAGCAGAACUGGCGAUGUGGAAUGAACCAAAAGUUAAGCUAAGAUGCCAAAGACAUUUCUCAUAAGACACCAUGAAAGGUGUUAGUUGAUAUUGACAGCAGGACGGUGGCCAUGGAAGUCGGAAUCCGCUAAGGAGUGUGUAACAACUCACCUGCCGAAUCAACUAGCCCUGAAAAUGGAUGGCGCUGUAGACAUGCAUCUAUGCUUAACCGUCGAGCUGUUGUUGUCGUUGUCGUCGACGACGACGACGACGACGACGACGACGUUUGAUGGCUCGACGUGUAGAAGGGCGCGUGUGCUGGCGUUGAAGCUCUCAGCGUGAGCUGGGGUGGAGCUGGCGCAGGUGCAGAUCUUAGUGGUAGUAGCAAGUAUUCAAAUGAGAACUUUGAAGACUGACGUGGAGAAGGGUUCCAUGUGAACAUUAUUUGAACGUGGGUCAGCCGAUCCUAAGACAAUGGAAGACUUCAUGAACAAGUAUGUGUCGUUUGAUAUCGUGAUCGAAAGGGAAUCGGGUUAAUAAUCCCGAGCCAGGCUACGGAUGUGGAUGUCUCUAUUGACGAGGUCAUCUGAUACGGUAACGUAAACAAACUCAGAGAUUGACUACUUUAUGUUCGGGGAAGAGUUCUCUCUUCUUUGUUAGGGUCGUUAUCCCUGGAAGCAGCUUGUCUGGAGAUAGGGUACGCGGUCCGUAUUGCAACGUGACUCGUACGUUGCACCGUGCGCAUAGAGUAGUGCUUGAAAAUCUGAGGGCGAUGUCGUUAUUUUCGUACCUGCUCGUACCCAUUUCCGCAGCAGGUCUCCAAGGUGUAUAGCCUCUAGUCAAAAGGACAAAGUAGACAAGGGAAGUCGGCAAAUUAGAUCUGUAACUUUGGAAUAAGGAUUGGCUCUAAAGGCUGAGUUGAUCGGACUGUGACAGUAAUUGGAAGGAGAAGCUUUGUGACUGGUCGAGGUUUGACUUCGAAAGUUGUCGGAUCGAGAUCGGACCUCAGCGAUAUCUGUACCAUGUAUGGUCUCAGCUGUGUUUCUUCUGCGCUUCUACAUCUUCACGGUGUUCAGAGGUGUUCAGGGUGAAACCUCGGUCAGCGUUUAACAGCUAAACUAGAACUGGUACGGACAAGGGGAAUCCAACUGUUUAAUUAAAACAAAGCAUUGCGAUAGCUGUGAUUGGUGUUGACGCAAUGUGAUUUCUGCCCAGUGCUCAGAAUGUUAACGUGAAGAGAUUUAAGCAAGCGCGGGUAAACGGCGGGAGUAACUAUGACUCUCUUAUGGUAGCCAAAUGCCUCGUCAUCUAAUUAGUGACGCGCACGAAUGGAUUAAUGAGAUUCCUUCUGUCCCUGUCUGCAGCCUAGCGAAACCACAGCCAAGGGAACGGGCUUGGAAUUAAACAGCGGGGAAAGAAGACCCUGUUGAGCUUGACUCUAGUCAGUCUUUGUGAAGAAACAUGAGGGAUGUAGAAUAUGUGGGACCUCCAUCUUUGGAGGGACAGUGAAAUACCACUGCCUUCAUUGUUUCUUUACUUACUCGGUGAUUCGGUUGGCAGUAUUGCUAUUUGUCAGGUAAAUUUCAUCCUUGAGUGCGAUGAACUGUCUGUUUUGAGAACAUAGACUGAUUGGGAGUUUGACUGGGGCGGUACAUCUAUUAAAAUCUAACGCAGGUGUCCUAAGGCGAUCUCAGCGAGGGCAGAAACCUCGCAUAGAGUGAAAGGGCAAAAGGUCGCUUGAUCUUGAUUUUCAGUGAGAAUACAGACAAUGAAAGUUUGGCUUGUCGAUCCUUUUGAAUUUUACGAGUUUUAAGCAAGAGGUGUCAGAAAAGUUACCACAGGGAUAACUGGCUUGUGGCGGCCAAGCGAUCAUAGCGACGUCGCUUUUUGAUCCUUCGAUGUC